rnacentral:rRNA from 1 species
GACGAACGCUGGCGGCGUGCUUAACACAUGCAAGUCGAACGGAAAGGCCUGCUUUCCCUUGUGGAUUGCGGGUACUCGAGUGGCGAACGGGUGAGUAACACGUGAGUGAUCUGCCCCCAACUUGGGUAUAAGCCUGGGAAACUGGGUCUAAUUCCCGAUAGGACUGCAGGGUGGUGCCUGUGGUGGAAAACGAUUUUCUAGUGGUUGGGGAUGAGCUCGCGGCCUAUCAGCUUGUUGGUGGGGUAAUGGCCUACCAAGGCGGCGACGGGUAGCCGGCCUGGGAGGGUGGACGGCCACAUUGGGACUGGGAUACGGCCCAGACUCCUACGGGAGGCAGCAGUGGGGAAGAAUGCACAAUGAGCGGAAGCCUGAUGCAGCGACGCCGCGUGGGGGAUGACGGCCUUCGGGUUGUAAACUCCUUGCGACCGCGAGGAAGCCACCUGGUUGGAAGGGUGGUGACGGUAGUGGUAGAAGAAGCACCGGCUAACUACGUG